CGGUGAAUACGUUCCCGGACCUUGUACACACCGCCCGUCAAGCCAUGGAAGCUGGGUGUACCUAAAGUCGAUAACCAUAAGGAGUCGCCUAGGGUAAAACUAGUAACUGGGGCU
rnacentral:rRNA from 1 species